UACGAAGGGGGCUAGCGUUGCUCGGAAUCACUGGGCGUAAAGGGCGCGUAGGCGGCCGGCCAAGUCGGGGGUGAAAGCCUGUGGCUCAACCACAGAAUGGCCCUCGAUACUGGACGGCUCGAGACCGGAAGAGGUUGGUGGAAUUGCGAGUGUAGAGGUGAAAUUCGUAGAUAUUCGCAAGAACACCGGUGGCGAAGGCGGCCAACUGGUCCGGAUCUGACGCUGAGGCGCGAAGCGUGGGGAGCAAACAGG
rnacentral:rRNA from 1 species